GAUGAAGAACGCAGCGAAAUGCGAUAAGUAAUGUGAAUUGCAGAAUUCAGUGAAUCAUCGAAUCUUUGAACGCACAUUGCGCCCGCCAGUAUUCUGGCGGGCAUGCCUGUUCGAGCGUCAUUUCAACCAUCAAGCCCCCGGCUUGUGUUGGGGACCUGCGGCUGCCGCAGGCCCUGAAAUGCAGUGGCGGGCUCGCUGUCACUCCGAGCGUAGUAGUUACAUCUCGCUCUGGGCGUGCUGCGGGGUCCGGCCGUUAAAAGCCUUAUUUACCCAAGGUUGACCUCGGAUCAGGUAGGAAGACCCGCUGAACUUAAGCAUAUCAAUAAGCGGAGGA
rnacentral:misc_RNA from 1 species